rnacentral:rRNA from 1 species
UACAGAGGGUGCGAGCGUUAAUCGGAAUUACUGGGCGUAAAGCGUGCGUAGCCGGUCAAGUAAGUCGGGUGUGAAAGCCCCGGGCUCAACCUGGGAAUUGCAUUCGAGACUGCGUGGCUAGGGUGCGGAAGAGGGAAGCGGAAUUUCCGGUGUAGCGGUGAAAUGCGUAGAUAUCGGAAGGAACACCAGUGGCGAAAGCGGCUUCCUGGUCCAGCACCGACGUUCAGGCACGAAAGCGUGGGGAGCAAACAGG